CAGUAGCCACGGUAAUACGUAGGUGGCAAGCGUUGUCCGGAAUUAUUGGGCGUAAAGGGCUCGCAGGCGGUUUCUUAAGUCUGAUGUGAAAGCCCCCGGCUCAACCGGGGAUGGUCAUUGGAAACUGGGAAACUUGAGUGCAGAAGAGGAGAGUGGAAUUCCACGUGUAGCGGUGAAAUGCGUAGAGAUGUGGAGGAACACCAGUGGCGAAGGCGACUCUCUGGUCUGUAACUGACGCUGAGGAGCGAAAGCGUGGGGAGCGAACAGGAUUAGAUACCCGCGUAGUCCCUGUCUCUUAUAU
rnacentral:rRNA from 1 species